CGGCCCGCACCGGCUCUUCCGCCCCGGGGUCUCCCCUGCUACUCCAGCGGCGGGGCCCCCAGCAAUUCUGGGCCCCAAGGUCACGGGGAGAUUCACCGAGUCCCCACGCAGCGCAGGCCUUCGCAGUUCGACAAGAAAAUCCUGCUGUGGACAGGGCGUUUCAAAUCGAUGGAGGAGAUCCCGCCUCGGAUCCCGCCAGAAAUGAUAGACACCGCAAGAAACAAAGCUCGAGUGAAAGCUUGUUACAUAAUGAUUGGACUCACAAUUAUCGCCUGCUUUGCUGUGAUAGUGUCAGCCAAAAGGGCUCCACUAUGAAUUCCAGUUCUGUUGCUAUUCCACCACAUCUGCAGUUACUUCCUCAUACUUCCUCCACUGAAGGCUUGAACCCCUCAAAGUUAUCUAUGAGGAUUGGAAUCAGCUUCGUCCGAACUCCUAUUAAUAUUGACCUCUUCCUAUGAUUCACAAAUAUUCUUAAUGGCAUCUAGAAUGGUGACUCCUUUCCAGAAGGUUUUCAAUUUACUUUGCUCAGAUCCAUCAGAGGAAUCACUAUCUAUGGUAGCUAUAGCCUUACAAAAUGUGUUUCUUAAAUAACAAGACUUGAAAGUUGAAAUGACACCUUUUUCCAUGGGCUGAAGAAUGGAUGUUGUGUUAGCAGUCAUGAAAAUAUUAAUCUCCUUGUAAAUAUCCAUAAGAACUUUUGAGUGACCAGGUGCAUUGUCACUGAGAAGUAAUAUUUUGAAAGGAAUCUUUUUUUUUCUGAGAAGUAAGUCUCAACAGUGAGCUUAAAGUAUUCAGAAAGCCAUGUAAGCAGAUAUGCUGUCACCCAGGCUUCAUUAUUCCAUUCGUGGCACAGGCAGAGUAGAUUUACCAUAAUUCUUAAGAGCCCUAGGAUUUUCAGAAUGCUAAUGAGUAUUGGCUUCCACUUAAAGUCAUCAGCUGCCAAUAGCUCCUAACAAGAGAGUCAGCCUGUCUUUGAAGCUUUAAAACCAGGCAUUGACUUCUCUCUAUCUCUGAAAGUUCUAGAUGGCAUUUUCUUCCAAAAUGAGGCUAUUUUGUCUUCAUUGAAAAACUGUAUUUUAGCAUAGACUUCAUCAACAAAAUUAGCUAUAAUAGAUCUUCUAGAUGACUUGCUGUAGCUUCUCUAUUAGCACUUGCUGCUUCACCUUGCACUUUUGUUAUGGAGACAGCUUCUUUCCUUCAGCCUCAUGAACCAACCUCUGCUAGCUUCCAACUUGUCUUCUACUGCUUU
rnacentral:lncRNA from 1 species